AUGAACGCUGGCGGCGUGCCUAAUACAUGCAAGUCGAGCGAACAGACGAGGAGCUUGCUCCUCUGACGUUAGCGGCGGACGGGUGAGUAACACGUGGAUAACCUACCUAUAAGACUGGGAUAACUUCGGGAAACCGGAGCUAAUACCGGAUAAUAUAUUGAACCGCAUGGUUCAAUAGUGAAAGACGGUUUUGCUGUCACUUAUAGAUGGAUCCGCGCCGCAUUAGCUAGUUGGUAAGGUAACGGCUUAGCAAGGCAACGAUGCGUAGCCGACCUGAGAGGGUGAUCGGCCACACUGGAACUGAGACACGGUCCAGACUCCUACGGGAGGCAGCAGUAGGGAAUCUUCCGCAAUGGGCGAAAGCUUGACGGAGCAACGCCGCGUGAGUGAUGAAGGUCUUCGGAUCGUAAAACUCUGUUAUUAGGGAAGAACAAAUGUGUAAGUAACUAUGCACGUCUUGACGGUACCUAAUCAGAAAGCCACGGCUAACUACGUG
rnacentral:rRNA from 1 species